rnacentral:rRNA from 1 species
GCCUAUGGCCAUGCCACCCUGAGCACACCCGAUCUCAUCUGAUCUCGGAAGCUAAGCAGGAUCAGGCCUGGUUAGUACUUGGAUGGAGACCACCUAGGAAUACCAGGUGCUACAGGCC